AUCUCCCUACGGGAGGCAGCAGUGGGGAAUAUUGGACAAUGGGGGGAACCCUGAUCCAGCGACGCCGCGUGAGUGAAGAAGUAUUUCGGUAUGUAAACUUCUCUCAGCAGGGAAGAAAAUGACGGUACCUGACUAAGAAGCCCCGGCUAACUACGUGCCAGCAGCCGCGGUAAUACGUAGGGGGCAAGCGUUAUCCGGAUUUACUGGGUGUAAAGGGAGCGUAGGCGGUUUAGCAAGUCAGAAGUGAAAGCCCGGGGCUCAACUCCGGGACUGCUUUUGAAACUGUUGAACUAGAUUGCAGGAGG
rnacentral:rRNA from 1 species